rnacentral:rRNA from 1 species
CCUACGGGGGGCUGCAGUGGGGAAUAUUGGACAAUGGGCGAAAGCCUGAUCCAGCCAUGCCGCGUGUGUGAAGAAGGCCUUCGGGUUGUAAAGCACUUUCAGUGGGGAAGAAAGCCUUGGGGCUAAUACCCUCGAGGAAGGACAUCACCCACAGAAGAAGCACCGGCUAACUCCGUGCCAGCAGCCGCGGUAAUACGGAGGGUGCGAGCGUUAAUCGGAAUUACUGGGCGUAAAGCGCGCGUAGGCGGUCUGAUAAGCCGGUUGUGAAAGCCCCGGGCUCAACCUGGGAACGGCAUCCGGAACUGUCAGGCUAGAGUGCAGGAGAGGAAGGUAGAAUUCCCAGUGUAGCGGUGAAAUGCGUAGAGAUCGGGAGGAAUACCAGUGGCGAAGGCGGCCUUCUGGACUGACACUGACGCUGAGGUGCGAAAGCGUGGGUAGCAAACAGGAUUAGAUACCCGGGUAGUC